UCCUUGGUAGUCCAGUGGUUAAGAUUCUACACUUCCAUUGCAGGGGGCAUGGGUUUGAUUCCUGGUCAGGGAA
rnacentral:tRNA from 1 species